AAAAAAAAAAAAAAAUUAUCACACAAAAGCACUUAACUUGCAGCAGCUACUUCCCUCACUGGCGAGGAUUUCACCGGCGGCGAAGGAGGAAGUCGAGAGGAGAAAUUCCUCAAAGGAGCAAUUUCUUCACUAUCAUCAUCAAAUCCAUCUUCAAAAUUAAGCGAAUAACUCAUCGGAUCGUAACGAAACUCAGUAGAAGCGUGUCUCUUGUGCCGAUUCGAUCCAGUUCCGACGAAAUUCAGAACAUUUAACACCUUAUCUUUCAAUUUCAGAAGGUUACUAGAUUCUUCGUUGUUUACCCAAAUCAGCGCCGGAUUCUCAUCAGACGAUGACGGCGGCGGCGGAGGACGGCGGUGAGGGAAGCAACAAGACAAACAGAGGGAGUUUUUAAGCUUCUGCUUGAGAUUUGGGGGUGAAGUUAGAGAAAAAUCAUCGUUUUCGUCCAUUGGAGCUGAGAAUUGAGAUUGAAAAUGGCGAAGAAAAAUUGGGGAUUUUA
rnacentral:misc_RNA from 1 species